rnacentral:rRNA from 1 species
UUUUAGUGGCGGACGGGUGAGUAACACGUGAGCAACCUGCCUUCGAGAGGGGAAUAACGGCUGGAAACGGUCGCUAAUACCGCAUAAUGUACGGGAUGGGACAUCCUGUCUGUACCAAAGAUUUAUCGCUCGAAGAUGGGCUCGCGUCCGAUUAGGUAGUUGGUGAGGUAACGGCCCACCAAGCCGACGAUCGGUAGCCGGACUGAGAGGUUGAACGGCCACAUUGGGACUGAGACACGGCCCAGACUCCUACGGAAGGCAGCAG